CACGAAACAAUUUUUCGGUGAAAGAAAAUGAGGACAGAAUAAAUGUCCCGAGGCCAGCAGGUGGAUGAGGGAAGGGGAGGCAGGAGGAGAGCCCCGAGGCGGCCACCAGUCCGAGUGUCAGGUGAACUGAACUUCAGAAAACUAGUUGAGAGGAAAGACAAGCUGCUGUAGUUCUUUGUAAGUGCUUUACAGUUAAGUGAAGUUGUUGGCUUCUCUCCUGCCUGACUGAACUGGACCGGAUCUGGGGAAGGAGUCAUGUCUGAGUGUGCUGCCAACAAAAACAGCACUUAUCUCAAUUUCUUGGUUGCACUUUCGAUUUGAGGCUGACUUGUGUGUACAGAUGAGGAGGAAAACCUCCAAACAUAACAAAUGGAAUUCGAUGUUUUCAUUUGACUAUAAAAUGUGCUAAUCUUUAUGUAAAAAAAAUAAAAAAAUAAAAAAAGCUAUGCUGAUGAUUUCUGACAAUAUUUU
ensembl:lncRNA